GCAGUCGAGCGAGCUGAAUUCAAAGAUCCCUUCGGGGUGAUUUGUUGGACGCUAGCGGCGGAUGGGUGAGUAACACGUGGGCAAUCUGCCCUAAAGACUGGGAUACCACUUGGAAACAGGUGCUAAUACCGGAUAACAACAUGAAUCGCAUGAUUCAAGUUUGAAAGGCGGCGCAAGCUGUCACUUUAGGAUGAGCCCGCGGCGCAUUAGCUAGUUGGUGGGGUAAAGGCCUACCAAGGCAAUGAUGCGUAGCCGAGUUGAGAGACUGAUCGGCCACAUUGGGACUGAGACACGGCCCAAACUCCUACGGGAGGCAGCAGUAGGGAAUCUUCCACAAUGGACGCAAGUCUGAUGGAGCAACGCCGCGUGAGUGAAGAAGGUCUUCGGAUCGUAAAGCUCUGUUGUUGGUGAAGAAGGAUAGAGGCAGUAACUGGUCUUUAUUUGACGGUAAUCAACCAGAAAGUCACGGCUAACUACGUGCCAGCAGCCGCGGUAAUACGUAGGUGGCAAGCGUUGUCCGGAUUUAUUGGGCGUAAAGCGAGCGCAGGCGGAAUGAUAAGUCUGAUGUGAAAGCCCACGGCUCAACCGUGGAACUGCAUCGGAAACUGUCAUUCUUGAGUGCAGAAGAGGAGAGUGGAACUCCAUGUGUAGCGGUGGAAUGCGUAGAUAUAUGGA
rnacentral:rRNA from 1 species